CGGCAAAAGCUCAAAUUUGAAAUCUGACGUCUGAUCGGGCGUUCCGAGUUGUAAUUUGGAGGAGCGGCUUCGGGAGCGGCACCGUCCUAAGUUCCGUGGAACAGGACAUCACAGAGGGUGAGAAUCCCGUGUCUAGACGGGGUCAGCCGGUUCCCAUGCGAAGUGCUUCCGACGAGUCGAGUUGUUUGGGAAUGCAGCUCAAAAUGGGUGGUAAAUUUCAUCUAAAGCUAAAUAUUGGCGAGAGACCGAUAGCGCACAAGUAGAGUGAUCGAAAGAUGAAAAGCACUUUGAAAAGAGAGUUAAAAAGUACGUGAAAUUGUUGAAAGGGAAGCGCUUGAGAUCAAAACUCGGCCUUAGGUGAAGCUUCGAGUUUGCUCGGAGCCGNCUCGCCUUUGACCGGGCCAGCAUCGGUUUUGAUGGCGGRARAAACGGUAUGGGAAUGUAGCUCUCUUCGGAGAGUGUUAUASCCCAUGUCAAAUGCCGCCAAUCRAGACCGAGGAACCCCCGCGCUUCGGCUAGGAUGCUGGCGUAAUGGUCUUCAGCGACCCGUCUUGAA
rnacentral:rRNA from 1 species